GCUGGCCCUGCCCUUGCAAAGGACCCUGUUGGGUGGUCCUUACUGCAGGCCAGAGGUAGUUAAUCUGGCCUUCGCCGGGAGAGGAUGGCUUUAACAGACACCCAGACUGCCUGAGUGCACUGGAUUAGCGCCCUUAACUGAUAUUGAUUCAGUUCUGAGUCAGAGUCUGGGUCAUGGAUGCAUCCCAAACUGCUCAACCCAUAGAAGCAGACAAACCAGCUCAUCAGUGACAAGGGCAAAUGAGCUAAACUGUUCUGAGAACCAUGUUCCUCUGGAGAAAAGUGAAAAGGUGAGAAUGAAGGAUGGCAG